CAGCAUAAUUUACGUCCUGCUGUAAAUAUGGACAAACAAUAAAGUUGGUAAUAAAGGUGAGCACUAUAUGAGUCGUAGAUGCUCAUAAAGGAUCAUCACACAUAC